rnacentral:misc_RNA from 1 species
UACGUAGGGUGCGAGCGUUAAUCGGAAUUACUGGGCGUAAAGCGCACGCAGGCGGUCUGUCAAGUAGGACGUGAAAUCCCCGGGCUCAACCCGGGAACUGCAUCCGAAACUGGCAGGCUAGAGUCUGGUAGAGGGGGGUAGAAUUCCAGGUGUAGCGGUGAAAUGCGUAGAGAUCUGGAGGAAUACCGGUGGCUAAGGCGGCCCCCUGGACAAAGACUGACGCUCAGGUGCGAAAGCGUGGGGAGCAAACAUG